GAUGAACGCUGGCGGCGUGCCUAAUACAUGCAAGUCGAGCGAACAGACGAGGAGCUUGCUCCUUUGACGUUAGCGGCGGACGGGUGAGUAACACGUAGGUAACCUACCUAUAAGACUGGGAUAACUUCGGGAAACCGGAGCUAAUACCGGAUAAUAUUUCGAACCGCAUGGUUCGUUAUUGAAGGAGGCCUUUGCUAUCACUUAUAGAUGGACCUGCGCCGUAUUAGCUAGUUGGUAAGGUAACGGCUUACCAAGGCAACGAUACGUAGCCGACCUGAGAGGGUGAUCGGCCACACUGGAACUGAGACACGGUCCAGACUCCUACGGGAGGCAGCAGUAGGGAAUCUUCCGCAAUGGGCGAAAGCCUGACGGAGCAACGCCGCGUGAGUGAUGAAGGUCUUCGGAUCGUAAAACUCUGUUAUUAGGGAAGAACAAACGUGUAAGUAACUGUGCACGUCUUGACGGUACCUAAUCAGAAAGCCACGGCUAACUACGU
rnacentral:rRNA from 1 species